AAUGAGUUAUUUUAAUUAAAAAAUGAGCAGUUUGAAACUGCUAGAUGAGAGUGUGGGAUACCCCUCUCACUUGUUG
rnacentral:tRNA from 1 species